rnacentral:rRNA from 1 species
CAACUUUCAACAACGGAUCUCUUGGUUCUGGCAUCGAUGAAGAACGCAGCGAAAUGCGAUAAGUAGUGUGAAUUGCAGAAUUCAGUGAAUCAUCGAAUCUUUGAACGCACAUUGCGCCCCUUGGUAUUCCAUGGGGCAUGCCUGUUCGAGCGUCAUUUGUACCUUCAAGCUCUGCUUGGUGUUGGGUGUUUGUCUCGCCUCUGCGCGUAGACUCGCCUCAAAACAAUUGGCAGCCGGCGUAUUGAUUUCGGAGCGCAGUACAUCUCGCGCUUUGCACUCAUAACGACGACGUCCAAAAGUACAUUUUUACACUCUUGACCUCGGAUCAGGUAGGGAUACCCGCUGAACUUAAGCAUAUCAAUAAGCGGAGGAAAAGAAACCAACAGGGAUUGCCCUAGUAACGGCGAGUGAAGCGGCAACAGCUCAAAUUUGAAAUCUGGCGUCUUCGGCGUCCGAGUUGUAAUUUGCAGAGGGCGCUUUGGCAUUGGCAGCGGUCCAAGUUCCUUGGAACAGGACGUCACAGAGGGUGAGAAUCCCGUACGUGGUCGCUAGCCUUUACCGUGUAAAGCCCCUUCGACGAGUCGAGUUGUUUGGGAAUGCAGCUCUAAAUGGGAGGUAAAUUUCUUCUAAAGCUAAAUACUGGCCAGAGACCGAUAGCGCACAAGUAGAGUGAUCGAAAGAUGAAAAGCACUUUGGAAAGAGAGUUAAAAAGCACGUGAAAUUGUUGAAAGGGAAGCGCUUGCAGCCAGACUUGCCUGUAGUUGCUCAUCCGGGUUUCUACCCGGUGCACUCUUCUAUAGGCAGGCCAGCAUCAGUUUGGGCGGUUGGAUAAAGGUCUCUGUCAUGUACCUCUCUUCGGGGAGAACUUAUAGGGGAGACGACAUGCAACCAGCCUGGACUGAGGUCCGCGCAUCUGCUAGG